AGUGAACGCUGGCGGUAGGCCUAACACAUGCCAGUCGAACGGCAGCACAGUAAGAGCUUGCUCUUACGGGUGGCGAGUGGCGGACGGGUGAGGAAUACAUCGGAAUCUACUUUUUCGUGGGGGAUAACGUAGGGAAACUUACGCUAAUACCGCAUACGACCUACGGGUGAAAGCAGGGGAUCUUCGGACCUUGCGCGAUUGAAUGAGCCGAUGUCGGAUUAGCUAGUUGGCGGGGUAAAGGCCCACCAAGGCGACGAUCCGUAGCUGGUCUGAGAGGAUGGUCAGCCACACUGGAAGGUGGACACCGUCCAGACUACUAAGGGAGGCAGCAGUGGGGAAUAGUAGACAAUGGGCGCGAGCCUGAUCCAGCCAUACCGCGUGGGUGGAAGAGGCCUUCGGGGUGGAAAGCCCGUUUGUUGGGAAAGAAAAGCAGCCGGUUAAGACCCCGCUGGUCUGACGGUACCCAAAGAAUAAGCACCGGCUAACUUCGUG
rnacentral:rRNA from 1 species